CUGGUAUGAGCUGCCCUGCCUGCUUUCCUCGCACUGAUAGUUCUGUGUGCUCGGAGAUUCAAUUACUCUGAUUCCUUGGCCUGAAUCCUAAUUCUAAUGGAAGUUGCUGAUGCUCUGCAACUGUUCUGCAGUUUUCAGUGACAGCUUGUGGCUUUCUUCUGCACCAUGUCUGCACAUUACAGCCCAUUUGCAUGGAGCUGCCAGAGGAGCUGCGUCAGCUGGCAGACAUGCAGAAACUGAGAAGGGAGAAAGUAAUAGAAGACUACAGAAUGAAUGAGGAUGGUCUUUUGAUCCAACCAGCCAUGGAAUUUAAUAGAGGGAAACAAUCCACAGAAGGAUAGAAACUACAGAGAUGAUGUCGAUUUAUUUCCCACAAAAAAAAAAAAAAAAGGCAGGGUCUCACAACACAUCCUUCAACAAUCAAGGAUAUACUUUUUCAAAGCAGCACUUGAAACUCAAAUUCAUGUGGUAAAAUCUGUGGGAGGACCUUAAACCGUUCUCAAGCAGACUGUAUGAAUUUAAUUUCUGACACAGGUGAUUUGAUGAGCUUAGAUUGGAUGUUUGGAGACAUCCAAGUGAAAAAAGAGGCUACUCCCCUUGCAGAGGUGUCAAACAAAAGCUCCUGACUUUACAAUGAGAGGUAAUUCAACAUUCCACUGUCAAAUGGAAAUAACCAUGGUCUAUCUUUUGGAGGAAAUUCCUGCUGUGUCUGACCUUCUCUAGGUCUAUUUUUGAGAUCCAUUUUUUCCAAGAGAUAUUUUUGAAGAGUGACUUUUAUUUUUCUUGCAUUGUUAACAGACCACUUUCUUAAACUGUAUUAGUUCUUUCGCUACCUGCUGCAGGUAUGUAAAACUCAUUAGAGCAGCUUCCUGCUGGAAGAUGCAGACCAUCACCACCACCGUUGUUUGCCACGCUGCCGCAUCCAGCUCUGUGGAUAAGGCUGUAAGCUCUGUGCUGUGUGGUGUGUGUAAAAAGCACUUUAGGAGGUAUAGACCAGUCCCUCCCCAUUCAAAAUAAAGUAUUAGGGCAAAACUACUGCUCUACCA
rnacentral:lncRNA from 1 species